rnacentral:rRNA from 1 species
CGUGUCUCUAAGAGUUUGAUCCUGGCUCAGAGCGAACGCUGGCGGCAGGCCUAAUACAUGCAAGUCGAGCGCCCUUUCGGGGGAGCGGCGGACGGGUGAGUAACGCGUGGGAACGUGCCCUUUGGUACGGAACAACUGAGGGAAACUUCAGCUAAUACCGUAUGUGCCCUUCGGGGGAAAGAUUUAUUGCCAUUGGAGCGGCCCGCGUUGGAUUAGGUAGUUGGUGAGGUAAAGGCUCGCCAAGCCUACGAUCCAUAGCUGGUCUGAGAGGAUGAUCAGCCACACUGGGACUGAGACACGGCCCAGACUCCUACGGGAGGCAGCAGUAGGGAAUCUUGCGCAAUGGGCGAAAGCCUGACGCAGCCAUGCCGCGUGAAUGAUGAAGGUCUUAGGAUUGUAAAAUUCUUUCACCGGGGACGAUAAUGACGGUACCCGGAGAAGAAGCCCCGGCUAACUUCGUGCCAGCAGCCGCGGUAAU